rnacentral:ncRNA from 1 species
CCCGAUAAAGGCAAACCCAGUGAAAGCUGGGGACGCAAAGCCACGGGCCUAAAGAAAGGAAUCUAUGGUCGCCGGGCUGCCGAAG